rnacentral:rRNA from 1 species
UACGUAGGGAGCAAGCGUUGUUCGGAUUUACUGGGCGUAAAGGGCGCGUAGGCGGCGCGGUAAGUCACUUGUGAAAUCUCUGAGCUUAACUCAGAACGGCCAAGUGAUACUGCAGUGCUAGAGUGCAGAAGGGGCAAUCGGAAUUCUUGGUGUAGCGGUGAAAUGCGUAGAUAUCUGGAGGAACACCGGUGGCGAAGGCGGCAUCCUGGACCAAUAUUGACGCUGAGGAGCGAAAGCCAGGGGAGCAAACGGG